ACAUCGGCCCUUUUCAGGGCCACCAAAGAAACAAGGAGGACAUC
rfam:Lasius niger Lnig_2.1_20646, whole genome shotgun sequence.